AAUAGAUACCCUGGUAGUCCACGCCGUAAACGAUGAGUGCUAAGUGUUAGAGGGUUUCCGCCCUUUAGUGCUGAAGUUAACGCAUUAAGCACUCCGCCUGGGGAGUACGGCCGCAAGGCUGAAACUCAAAGGAAUUGACGGGGGCCCGCACAAGCGGUGGAGCAUGUGGUUUAAUUCGAAGCAACGCGAAGAACCUUGCCAGGUCUUGACAUCCUCUGACAACCCUAGAGAUAGGGCUUCUCCUUCGGGAGCAGAGUGACAGGUGGUGCAUGGUUGUCGUCAGCUCGUGUCGUGAGAUGUUGGGUUAAGUCCCGCAACGAGCGCAACCCUUGAUCUUAGUUGCCAUCAUUAAGUUGGGCACUCUAAGGUGACUGCCGGUGACAAACCGGAGGAAGGUGGGGAUGACGUCAAAUCAUCAUGCCCCUUAUGACCUGGGCUACACACGUGCUACAAUGGACGGUACAAAGAGCUGCAAGACCGCGAGGUGGAGCUAAUCUCAUAAAACCCGUUCUCAGUUCGGAUUGU
rnacentral:rRNA from 1 species